GGAUCAGGGAUCAAACCCACGUUCCCUCCACUGGCAAGCGGAUUCUUAACCACUGGGCCACCAGCACUAUUUCUUCUGCAGAUUCAAGUUACUGUCUGGUAUAAUUUUCUUCACCUGAAGAAUUUCUUUUAGGACCUCUAAGGUUAAGUCUCAGUUGCCGCGAAGAACUGUUAAGAGCCAAUCUAGUAACUUUGACAAAGGACUAUUAUUCAGUCAUGAGAAAGAAGGAAAUCAUGCCUUUUGCAACAACAUGGAUGGACCUGGAGGGCAUUAUGUGACAUAUUUGUGAAUACCUUUCAUAAAAUUGGAAACAAUUUUCAGAAUCCCCACACGCUGUUCUCUUUGUUACGCCAGGCAACUUAAGAGUGACCUGUUUAUGGCAGAAGCUUUCUUAAGGAGAUAAAAGAGCCCAACUAUUUGUGAAAAGAGG